GGUGUCUGUGGGAGAAAAAUCCAGUCAAACGGAGGAUGGUCGAAGCCUGUGGUAUCGUAGUUUUCACUAAUUUAGGGUUACAGAAGGCAAACUAGAAAUGUGGAUGUGCUAUGGAAUUGGGUGCCUUAGUUAUUAUACGCUCUUUUACAUUUGUUAUUUAUUUAUUUUAUUUUUUUACCACGCGCAUAACAUGACAACAUAUGCAAGGUCGUUUCGUGCACGAGAAUAAAGAUACAGUUCUGCUGUGUCGUUCACAAAACAUCACAAAAACCGGUUUGACGUUUUGAUUACCAUAAUUUCUUCACAAGCAGUACUGUAUGUGGUAUGUCUCGAUGCACAGGCGUAAUUACACAGGGGACAUGCCCCCCUCACUUUUUCAAUGAUGGGGAAAUGUCCCCCUCUUGCAUGAGUACUGAAACUUUUAUUUCACGAUAAUGUAUUGGUAUAAAAACUCGUCAGUAUAGAAGUCAUUGGGAAGAAAAAUAAGAUGUUGUUUUACUACAAGGAUCUGGUUCAGGCUCCACUGACCCGUAAUGUUGAUCCAAGCCUGGAGCUGCACACACCUUAGCUAGGGAAACUGACCGAUGAGAAGUGAACAUGAGUGACACGUAUUUUAAGACCCUGGCUGACACAUUUGUACACACGCUGAGAUCACAGUAACGUUGGGGGGAAAUGGCAAACUGGUGGAUAGAGGAGGGUGCACUACGCUGCUGUAUCCAAAACACAGGACAAUGGUUUAGGUUUGUAAUUCACCGUACCUCGUGUUAUUUACUAAUGUUAUCACACUGAGGUUUCUGUCUACUUACAGUUUAACUUUUCAUUUUAAAUUGAAACAGUAAACUGAAAACAGCCAAAUGACCUUUGUGUCUUGUGCAUAUAAAUGUAAACAUCAAAAAUGAAUCACGAUAUCACACAUCGCACAGAACAUUUGUCAAUGUUUCAAAAGCAUGUAACACAGUAUUUAUAUUUAUUGUGUGUUUUUUUAUUUAUCACAUUGUUUUUGCACUUACUAUUAUAACUACUUUUGCGCAUAUUUCUAUGUAGUUGAUGGUGUAAUGCCGUGUUUUUUUUUGUCAAUUAGUGUGUGUUUGCUUUCUUUUGAGCUCGGUGUACGUUAUUGUCGAUACACUGCAAUUUGAUGUUCAAGCUGAAAUUACUUUUAAGAACACCCUUUAUUAUAUCAUUAGAGUACUACCAUCAUUUUAAUAUCAAAACUGUAUUUAUCUGAAGUAUUUCAAUUGUGGGGAAACCUCAAUGUUUCUAGAAAUCUAUUUCAAGGGCAAUUCUCAUCCCUCUCAUUUAAUCUGCAUUAUGUCCCACUCGCUCUACGGCUCACCGCUGCCUCAGGGGCCAGUUCAAGGGAUCUGAUCCGGGAUCCAGACUUCAGUCUGAGCGGCUUCAGGGCUCUUCGAAGACUAAAGUCAGAAGUGACCAAAUAAUACAUCUAUUUGCCACACUCCUCACUCAUCAUUGGGCCAACAAUGUGUUGUUUUGAAUGAUUACCGCAGGAAUGUGUUUGUAUCUUUUAAUUAGACAUAAAAGGGAUGCAAUGAUUUGUUAUACUUGUUUGUAACAUGUUUUAUUAUUUCAGAUAGAAUAAUCUCCAGUUGAUCUUCAUCAGCAGUCUUGUGUAGUGCGCAUAGCAUUUGAAAAUCAGGAUACUUACCCAAAGAGCUACUCUGCAUUUAUAUUGUCACAAACUGACUUAAAACAAGCCGAGGGAACAUUCAUCACUGUUUUCCAUACAUUUAAAAAUGAUUAACCCUUAAUCUUAAAAUAUUUUUUCACAUUGCAUACCCACAUGCACAUGUACACUUUCUUUCUACCAGGGGGGUUGAAAUAUUUUCAAAUGCUUGCAAACUUAAGUUAGGUCUCCACUCUCGAAUUUUAUGAAUGGAUCUCACAGAAAUCGUGCCAUGCUGUCAAAAAGUCCUUCAGAAGAUGCACCCCGAGGACACCUCACUGCUCUGUUCCAAGUGGAAUCCUAAGAAAGUAACCCCUCUUAGUGGUUGAACGAAUGGUGUAAUGAAAUCUGUUUGCUGUGCUAGCUGUCUCCAGAUUGGGCUGUAAUUACACCACAGAAGGAAGAAAGCAGUACAUUAAUAUUUUAGUAAAAAUGCUGGAGGAUGCUUUUAAGAAUCGCUGGUUUGCUUGAAGCAGAUAUCAGAUACUGAAGACUUCUUGUUGAGCUGUCACAGAACCCAGCAGGUAACAGAGACCUCCAGAGUUCAGGGACACCAACUAUCUACGUGGUUAUCCUUCCAAGCCUGCCGGAAGCAAAUGCAAAGAUCAGCAACUAAUCACGACCGGUAGAGUCGCUAUUAGACUAGCCACUGAGGACCCUCUAUCUGCUUGACAAUGGAACCCUUCAUUGGUGUCCAUAUUAUGCAUAUUAAAUGUGUAGGCAUCAUGGGACCCUGGUGUUGAAAUGAGUCAGAAAACUUUAGAUUUGUUUUACUUCUGAACAAGAAUCUGAAGUGGCAGGUGUUUCACGUUCAGACUAGCUGCAAUAACAAAAUUCAGAGUAUUGGUUUCUGGCUUCUGUCUCACAUGUUACUGUAAUGUUGGGCGUUUACAUGCACGUUUAUCUGUAUGCACUGCCCUGAAGGUCAACCAAAUCACUGCACAAAGUCAUUAACACAUUGCACAGGAUCACUGGCUGUUAAAGGUCAAGCUAUUUUAGAUGCUUGCUGGAAUCGAAUAAGAUGUAAGAGAUUUUAACUUCUGUGUGGUCCAAACGGUUUUUCAAUGUGGACCUAAAGUAUACCACUAGCUCAGAGCAAGAACUCAGAAAAAUAGCUGAUGGCUGAUUUAUGUUUCGAUAUUAAAACUUUAAAUGCGCAUGGUUUAGAAAUGCAGCGUAGCCAGCAAUAUAUGGUGCGCUAAACUUUUGUAUACAAUCUUUGGUUUUGCUUAAGUCACUGUAUUAAGAGUCAUUCAAACAAUAUAAUAAUUAUUUAAACAAUAUAAAUGAACAAAAUAGUAUUUCAUGAACCUCUUCUAGACAGUUGCAGUCAGAUUCAAUGCAUUCAACAAGGCUGUUGGUCAGAUGUAUUGAAUGGACCCCCAUUAUCUUUUACUCAGCAUGGCCCAAUUUUUCUCUCUUUUAAAAAAACAAAACAAAAACAAAACUGUUUGUCAUCCUCUUUCCCCCUGCAGGACACACUUAAUCUAUUAAACCAAACUUUCAUUUAUUUCAAGCUGUGCUAAUGCUCAGUAAAAAGUUUCCAGUAUGCAUGAAAAGCAAUUACUUCACCU